GACAAAGUGAUAGUGGUGCGUUGUAAAAGAAACUUAAGAACGUAUCACUUCAACACGAUCAACUAGAAUGAAUACAGCGGUUUCGUUAUUGCUGGUAACCGUAAUUGGAUUUGCGGUCGGCGAGGAUUGUCGUCGCAGCAGCGAUUGUACAACCGUGACGUGUCCGUCGGAGUAUGUCAUGGAGUGUCAUUACCCCAACAGAAUAUGUACAUGCACUCAUGUGAAACAGUGCAUUCAAGUUUCGGACUGUGCGGACCCAACCUGCACCCACACAAUACACUGCAUAGACAAUAUUUGCCGAUGCGGCUACGGAUACACCAACGUGACCAGGUCUUUGAACUAGAAGUGAAUGCAGUGUGAGGAUCCUUGUCGGUUUGGAAAGUCACAUCGCAUUUAUAAUCCAAUAGCAAAUAAACACCAGCAGACACUA